AACGAACGCUGGCGGCAUGCCUAACACAUGCAAGUCGAACGGGAUCCUAGCUUGCUAGGUGAGAGUGGCGGACGGGUGAGUAACACGUGGGAAUCUGCCUUUUGGUUCGGGAUAACCGCGGGAAACUGCGGCUAAUACCGAAUGCCCUCGAGAGAGGAAAGAUUUAUCGCCAGAAGAGGAGCCCGCGUCCGAUUAGGUAGUUGGUGGGGUAAAGGCCUACCAAGCCGACGAUCGGUAGCUGGUCUGAGAGGAUGAUCAGCCACACUGGGACUGAGAUACGGCCCAGACUCUUACGGGAGGCAGCAGUGGGGAAUAUUGGACAAUGGGGGCAACCCUGAUCCAGCAAUGCCGCGUGAGUGAUGAAGGCCUUAGGGUUGUAAAGCUCUUUUGCCAGGGAAGAUGAUGACUGUACCUGGAGAAUAAGCCCCGGCUAACUUCGUGCCAGCAGCCGCGGU
rnacentral:rRNA from 1 species